ensembl:lncRNA
AUCAGAUUUUUUUUUCCUCUUUCCUGUUGCUUUUGCAGAAAUAAAUAACUUCCUUGACAGGCUCUGGUGCUGAAGUAAGUGCACGAAUGCUGCCAGUCUUCUUGCUGGCUGCUAGCCAUAACCCUGUGUCUAACAGGAAUAAAACUGUGGCUGCUUGCUUCAGCGUCUGCACAAGGCAGAAAAUCACGUUUACUUCUCUUUGCAUGCUGGAGCUAAUGCUGGGAGCUGAAUUUUUGGGAGGGUGUUGACUUGAAUGGUAUCAUCCUUUGGGAGAAGAAAUACCCAUCUCAUGGCGUAGGGCUGUGACUGCUGUAUCUGUUUGGGAGCAUCAGGAAAUACAGAGAAUAGGAACAUGCAAAGAGCAGCAGCAACGUGAAUGCCCGCCAUGAGAACCUCGCUGAAGCCGUGGCUGCUGUUUUGUAGGCUUCGUGAAGAUGCUGGAAUUACAAAUGGAAAUGCCAAGGUCAGAAUUUCUGCCAUCGAACUAUUUGAUGACAUUGCUCCGGCAGGUCAGCAUUACGGGAUGCAGAAGGGCAAUCUUCAUGCUCUUAGGGCAGUAACUUCCAUGGGCUUAGCUCAACGUUAAGGAUUCGCCAACUCAGGAAAGCCAGGCUGCUCUUGGUGGACUCAGUGUGCCAUCUCAGGGCAGUUACCUCCUGCCAGAAAUAGACUUGCCAAUGGUUUCCAUUAGGUCCUCUGGACAGAAGACAGCAAGAGGUGGUGUGGUGUCAUGUGAAAAUGCUCCCCUCCUGUCUGGCCCCAUUAUCUGUUCAACAUUUGGAUGAGAAGAAAUGGCAGUUUUCUUAAUAGAUUGGCUUCAAACCCAUGAACCCAUGAGACAAACCAGGAGGGGAAAAGGGCUCCUGUAGCACAAGUUCCUUAGUCUUGGCCUAUCUGCUAUAGCCCAUUGCUGUCCUGGAGCCAACCUUUGUGCAGACCUUAGAUUUCUGGAGCUAAGCAGUGAAUGAGUCCAACCUCCCCUGCCUGAGGCCUGUCUAUAUUUAACUUGUUCUGGAGGUGGCCGAACUUUCUCUAACCCAGCUCCUGCAAAAGCUCAGAUCCCUUCGACAGCCCCAGCUGCCCUCCUUUCUCUGCAGCAGAGCCAUUAUCUUGGUGUUAACCCAGGGAGGGAUAACAACAUUUUCCAGCUCCCAAAACUAAAAUUUCAGCACAAAACCUUUUUGUCUGUUAAACUACAUAGAAACACAGCAGCUGAGGACCAUAUUUCUGCAGUUUUUGACACGAGAUUAAUAAAUCCAGAUCCUCCCUACUUCUUGACCA